rnacentral:tRNA from 1 species
AUAGUUUAAAAAAAAACAUUGAUUUUGUAAAUCAAAGAUGGAAACACCUUUAAAUUAAGGACU